AUUGAACGCUGGCGGCAUGCCUAACACAUGCAAGUCGAGCGGUUGAAGGUGGGACGCUCCCGGAGUGAGUGGCGAACGGGUGAGUAAUGCCUAGGAAUGUGCCCGGUCGUGGGGGAUAACGUAGCGAAAGGGGCGCUAAUACCGCAUACGAUCUGAGGGUGAAAGCGGGGGAUCUUCGGACCUCGCGCCAUCGGAGUAGCCGAGGUCGGAUUAGUUAGUUGGUGGGGUAAAGGCCUACCAAGGCGACGAACCGUAACUGGUCUGAGAGGUUGAAUAGUCACACGGGCACUGGAACACGGUCCAAACCCCUACGGGAGGAAGAGUAGGGGAAUUUUGGAAAAUGGGGGAAAGCCUGAUCCAGCCAUGCGGGGUGUGGGAAGAAGGUCUUCGGAUGUUAAAGCCUUUUUGUAUGGGAGGAAGGGCGGUAGGGUAAAACCUUGCUGUUUUGACGGUACCAACAGAAAAAGCACCGGCUAACUUCGUG
rnacentral:rRNA from 1 species